CUGCCCUCCCACCCCGACUCAGCCGCCGCCGCCGCUGUUCAUCUGAGCGCUGAGACGCCGCCGCCGCUAUUCAUCUGAGCGGUAAGACGCCGCCGGUGCAACCGCCCACUGCAUCUUCUCCCCCACCCGGCCACCCCCGACGCCGACUCCUGCGGCGGCUGGCAUCUCCCGCAUCUCCUCCCUCGCCUUCGCACUGACCGCCGACCGUCGCGCCGUCGCUGGACUCGCUGCACGCAAGGAAGGAGAGGAUCGAGGAGGACAUGGACCCGCCGUCGCCCAUCCGUCCGCCCAGCGCCCACCCACCUUCGAUUCUAGCUUCGAGCUUUCGACAUCAUCCCAACUCUCCACAUUGGCAACUCAGCGGGCGACCGUCUGUCCACCUCGGCAUCUCGGCGUCGUCGUCUCCAGUUCGCUCCCAUCAUUCGUAUUGAAUUUUUGUUUCAUUCUUUGUGCACUGUUCUGUAUGUGCAAGGGAACUUGGAUGUAUUGUUGGUGACUUGUUGUUUUCAUUUUUGCUUAUCUGGCCUAUAUGUUCAUAUGAUCUUAGUGGAGAAUCAGGGUUCUACUAGUAUUUGUCACUGAUUUUAGUGGAUGCAUGUACUACUGUCAUAUGAUGUUAGUUGUAACUUGUAUUUUGAAGUUCUUGUUUAAUUUUUCUUGCCUCGAAUCAGUAUAGAAGAAUAAUCCCAUGAAUUCUAAAUUAACAUGCAUGUCCUUUCUGUUUUGCAGCCGAGACAAUUUAACUCUUCAAAAAUGGAGAUAUUAUAAUGACGCGAAUGAUUGUUGGGUCCACCAGAAUUUUCAGGAGGUGAUAGAAGUUGUGGUUAAUACCAACAAUCAAAUGGAAUAUGCAGACUAGACAAUUCUGUGGCAGAGGAAGCUAAUAUUCCUUUAAAAAUGUGGAAGAUACUAAUGGAUAUGAAAGUAGAUUUGAUAUGCAAGAUGGUGUAUCUGUAGUACUCUGUACUAAGGUUGAAAACUUGUUUAUGUAAAUUUGCGUUCAAAUCUGUUUUUGUUGUUAAUAGUGCAGUCCUAUUGUUUUGACUUAAACAUUGAUCUUACUGUAAUGUGCAAUGUGUCUAUGUAUUUGGAUUCGA